GCCGGUAUGGUGGAAUUGGCAGACGCGUCGGACUCAAAAUCCGAAGGUAGCAAUACCGUGUCGGUUCGACCCCGACUACCGGCACCA
rnacentral:tRNA from 2 species